AUGCCGUUCUUGGUACUGAAGACUGAGGGCCGGUCUUGCCCAUCCUGGGGUGAUGAGCAGGUACACACCUCUGAGGUAUUUCUGGGUUGGAUAUUUAUUUGUUGUAUGCUCCAACCAGUUUUUUGGAGCUCUUUCUGGCGUGGCUUCCACUCAGCAUUCAAGGAAAAGGGCACUUUGGAAGAUACAUUCUUUCUCAUUUCUAAGGGAACAAGGAAGAGAUGGAGGCAGAGGAAGAGAGACUCAUUGUUCAUCUUGCGUUUAGAAGAACAAGCUUUCAAGUAUUUUGAGAGUGCAGUAAUGGACAUGCGUGAAGAAAUGGAAUUACCAUAUUUGAACAUUAAGACUUACCACUGGGAUUUCCAGACUUUUGAGUCUGUGUUCAGUACUUUUUGUGCCUUUGCAGCUUUAAAGUGUUGCUAAAAAAAUAAUGACAGUGCAUUUGUCUAUAUCUGUAGUAUACAUAUUGGCAAACAGUGAUGUAUUUUGUAUGUUUCAAUAAUCACAUUAUUUGGCUCAUACCUUCAUGCAACAACUUGUAGAAUUAAUAAGGGACCAAUAAUUUUAGGAAAUUAGGAAGUGUGUGAUCCCUGAAGUAACAGAAUUUUCAUGUCUUGUAAGAGCUGAUUACCAAGUUUAACCACAUGUUACAAAAUUAAAGAUAUGUGUUAUGCAUUAUUUAAAAUCACCUUGAGACCAACUGUAACUAAAUUGCUGACACUUUUAAAAAAAUCUAAAGAAAUUCAGAAGCUAGCAUAUAGCUCCCAAAGAGUAUCAGGUAAGGAGGAAGACAAUUAAGAUAUUUAAAUAAGAAGCAAAAUAGUUCCAUGGGCCAAAACUGUAUAACUGUGGCAGUAAAAGGAAAACAGACAGUUAUGCUUGACAGCUUUCCAUAUUAACGUCAUGUGGUAAACUUAAAAUUUUGUUUAAAUGAAAUCCCCCCCCCCCGCUUUUUUUUUCUUUUUCUUUUUCUUUUUCUUUUUCUUUUUCUUUUUCUUUUUCUUUUUCUUUUUCUUUUUCUUUUUCUUUUUCUUUUUCUUUUUCUUUUUCUUUUUCUUUUU
rnacentral:lncRNA from 1 species